GUACCGAGGCAGUGUACCAGGAAAAAAAGAGGAAUGGAUGCAGAGUAUCCUAGCAACUUCCAAAGGGACAAUGGGUGGGCGUUACGGCAUUGAUGACAUUAUGAGUCAUCUCACUGACUCUUGUGAGCCCAGAGAGAUCCAAUGCAGGGUGCCUCACUCCAUGCUCAAGUCACAGAUGUACCCGCCUUCAUCUGACUGAUACAGGCUAGAGCCAAUAUUCAAGGCCUGGUCAUUUUCCUCGCAAGGUGCCCAUUUCCUCUCAUGCCGUGCUUCCCUAACAGGAGGCUCCAGAGAGGCACCAACAGGACACCUGGGCUUCUUGCUGAUUAAUCUCGCAGUGUUAAACACUUCUGCGGAAUAAAACAAUGAUGUCAACAAACAAAAUGGAGAAUAUCUUGUAAGACCACUUUGUCCAACUGCACUGAAACAAGAGGGGUGAAGAGGCCCUGGAGCUGAAAUUUCAAACGUGAAGCUUGCUUAGCUUGCCUCGCCCAUGGCAUAAUAAUGUAGUGGCUUAAAUCUACCAACAGAUGAAGAAUCCGGCAACUCUGUCUUGUUUUCUGGUUUACUUUGAUAUGGCCCAGUGGUUCUCAGUGGGAGUGCUACUGCCCCCUAGGGGUGGCUAGAAAAUUUGUGGGGUGUGUUUCGGUUGUCACAAGAGGAGGGGGUGGCACUACUGGCAUUUAGGAGGCCCAAGCAUUGACAGUAGACAUCCUAUUAUGUCUGAGACCAAUGCGUACGACAAAGCAUUAUUCCACAUCCUGUUUAUGAUCAUUUGCACCUAGAAUCGACUUUGAAUUACAUGGAAAUUCAGUUAUCUUUGCAUUUGAUUUUAAUGCAUUUAAUUUUCCAGGAAUUCAACAACUGUGCACAGGAGAGAAGACUGUAUUUUUGGUUUGGAACACUGUCAAAAGGUGUUCACUAUUUUGGAAAAUGGCAGUGCCUGACAUCCCUGACAGAAGCGCUUCUCAUGGUGGUGUAGCCACAUGACACUUCUGUAUUAGCCUGGACUUACAGCUGUGGCUUUCAGUAGUGAUUCUACUUACAGUAAAAGGUAGGCUCUCUGUCUGUUGUGUGGACUAGCACAUCCCAAGCACCUACACAGGACCUGGAACAUAGAGGGCACCUGAUGAAUACACUGAGGCACAAAGAAGUUUAAAUAACCCACCCAAGGUCCCACCGCUGUUUUACAGCCUCCCAGAGAGCGGUCUUCCAAUCUCUGUUCAUGAAUUACAGAAUAAUGAAGUCUUAGAUGGGAAAUAACCUGAAAAACGUCCUCGUCUGUCCUCUUCACUUCUCCUACCCACCAGGAUACCAGGCAUGUUUCAUUUGAAUAAUUUUGGAAAAAGUUUGAAGGCUACUCUUCCAGAGGACCAGUGGCCUG
rnacentral:lncRNA from 1 species